CAGGACCCCAGGAACCCUGUCUGCCCUGCAGCCCGCUCGCUCCCUGUGAGCGACUCGGUCCUGAGUGGGUUUGAGCAGCGGGUCCAGGAGGCCCACCUGACUGAGGACCAGAUCUUCUACUUCCCCAAGUACGGCUUCUGCGAGGCUGCAGACCAGUUCCACGUCCUGGACGGUGAGUGCACAGCGGGGCAAGCAUGGCGGCGUGGUGAGGGGGGCCACUGCCACCGGCUGAGUCUCGUCUCCGCUGCAGAAGUGAGGAGGUGAGGCCGGCGUGGUGAGGGGGGCCACUGCCACCGGCUGAGUCUCAUCCCUGCUGCAGAAGUGAGGAGGUGAGGCCGGCACACAGCUCCAGUGCUGAGAAGUCAGUGCCCCGAGAGACGACCCCACCAGUGGGGUGCCCGCUGCCCGUCCUCUGUGAAACCAGCCUCAGAUCAGGGCCCUGCCACCCGGGGCAGGGGAUCUUCUGCUGGCUGCCCCAGAGGACAGUGGGUGGAGUGGUACCUACUUAUUAAAUGUCUCAGACCCC
rnacentral:sRNA from 1 species